UCUCCGUAGGUGAACCUGCGGAGGGAUCAUUACUGAGUGAGGGUUUAACUGCCCGACCUCCAACCCUUUGUGAAUCGUACUCGUUGCUUCGGGGGCGACCCUGCCGUUUCGACGGCGAGCGCCCCCGGAGGCCUUCCAACACUGCAUCUUUGCGUCGGAGUUUAAAACAAAUCGAACAAAACUUUCAACAACGGAUCUCUUGGUUCUGGCAUCGAUGAAGAACGCAGC
rnacentral:misc_RNA from 1 species